rnacentral:rRNA from 1 species
CAGCCGCCGCGGUAAUACGGAGGGGGCUAGCGUUGUUCGGAAUUACUGGGCGUAAAGCGCACGUAGGCGGCUUGGUAAGUUAGAGGUGAAAGCCCGGAGCUCAACUCCGGAAUUGCCUUUAAGACUGCCGAGCUAGUAGGUGAGAGAGGUAGGUGGAAUUCCGAGUGUAGAGGUGAAAUUCGUAGAUAUUCGGAGGAACACCAGUGGCGAAGGCGGCUCACUGGUCCAUUACUGACGCUGAGGUGCGAAAGCGUGGGGAGCAAACAGGAUUAGAUACCCCGGUAGUCCCUGUCUCUUAUAC